GACGAACGCUGGCGGCGUGCCUAAUACAUGCAAGUAGAACGCUGAAGAGAGGAGCUUGCUCUUCUUGGAUGAGUUGCGAACGGGUGAGUAACGCGUAGGUAACCUGCCUUGUAGCGGGGGAUAACUAUUGGAAACGAUAGCUAAUACCGCAUAACAAUGGAUGACACAUGUCAUUUAUUUGAAAGGGGCAAUUGCUCCACUACAAGAUGGACCUGCGUUGUAUUAGCUAGUAGGUGAGGUAAUGGCUCACCUAGGCGACGAUACAUAGCCGACCUGAGAGGGUGAUCGGCCACACUGGGACUGAGACACGGCCCAGACUCCUACGGGAGGCAGCAGUAGGGAAUCUUCGGCAAUAGGGGCAACCCUGACCGAGCAACGCCGCGUGAGUGAAGAAGGUUGUCGGAUCGUAAAGCUCUGUUGUAAGUCAAGAACGGGUGUGAGAGUGGAAAGUUCACACUGUGACGGUAGCUUACCAGAAAGGGACGGCUAACUACGUG
rnacentral:rRNA from 1 species